rnacentral:rRNA from 1 species
CGCUGGCGGCGCGCUUAAUACAUGCAAGUCGAGCGAGAACCAGAGCUUCGGCUCUGGGGACAGCGGCGAACGGGUGAGUAACACGUGAGUAAUCUGCCCUCGGCACCGGGAUAGCCCGGGGAAACCCGGAUUAAUACCGGAUGGCCUCUCGAGCUUUCGGGCUCGUGAGAAAAGGUAGCUUCGGCCUCCGGCCGAGGAGGAGCUCGCGGCGGAUUAGCUUGUUGGUGGGGUAACGGCUCACCAAGGCGACGAUCCGUAGCUGGUCUGAGAGGACGAUCAGCCACACUGGGACUGAGACACGGCCCAGACUCCUACGGGAGGCAGCAGUAGGGAAUCUUGCGCAAUGGGCGAAAGCCUGACGCAGCGACGCCGCGUGCGGGAAGAAGGCCUUCGGGUUGUAAACCGCUUUCAGGAGGGACGAAGCCACUCGGGUUAAUAGCCCAGAGGGUGACGGUACCUCCAGAAGAAGCCCCGGCU